GUUCGGGGUUCCGGGUUCGGGGUUCGAGGUUCGGGGUUCCGGGUCCGAAGGUUUAUUGUAGAAAGACUAACUUUAACCAAAGGUUUAUUGUAGACCAUAGAAAGACUAACUUUAACCAAAGAUGUAUUGUAGAAAGGACUCAUGAUGUAAAACCAAUGUUGGUAAUUAGAAUCAUAGCUUCUUGUUAUCAAGGUUCCUGCACAACACCUGAAUGAAUAAUUUUAGAAUUGCUGGUUUUGUGCCACACCAACAGUUACAUUAUAAGUUCGCCGAAGCAAAAAAAAACAAUCUUUAGCGCCACCUCUCCAGGACUAGUGAAGGAAAUCACCAAUGCUUUGGCACAUUUGAAAUUUGUAUUGGUUCAGAUAAACUUCAUUCAGUUUGACGCCUAAUGCAGGAUCUAAUUGGAUUAGAAUAUUGAUAAGAAUUUCUUAUAAAUUCAUCUGGACCUUCAACACCGCUUACAUUCUAUAACUCCGAAGCCUUUAAGCAACUCAAGAUCAAAUGACAAAGGUAAAAUACUAAGUAAAUCAAAUAAAUUAAAUUAAUGAAUCAUCUAAAUCUCAUGUGAAUUAUAAUGAAAUGAAUUGUUGCGCCUUCUUAUCUGAAUUUUACCUCUUACAUCUCUCAUUAUUCAUAGCUAUAAUUUCUCACAUGAGCCUUUUCAUAUCAACAACCUAAAGUCGUUCCACUGUAAACAUCCCAUUUAAUUCCUAUGAUGGCUACAUGUAUAUAUCCGAUGCUCUGAAACUAUAAUUACAACUCUUUGAUUCCUUUGCAAGACUGCAAAAUGCUGAUCCAUAGAGGCGAUCAUGACAUACGCAGAAGAGGAGUUGAAUGACCCUAAAUCCUGAUUAUUCGUCCAUGAGGAUAACACACCUGAAGUAUACAGCACAUGAAAUAACUUAGAAAUUGGUUAUAUUUGGAUAUUUUUAUACCCCUUAGAAGAAUAACUGUUUUUGCUUCUCCACUAACCUACAAGCAUAGUUCCCUCGGUGAUCCAAUAAAGAACUCUACCUUUAAAAAGAUACAACUAAUUAGAGAAUGGCAACAAGCCAAAAAGCAAACAUAAAAAAAUUCACUAACUGUUUUUGCUUCUCCCUUAGCCAAGCAGUUCAGCAGCAAACCCAGCAACUCGAAGAUAGGUUCCUACUCGUAACUUCAUAAUUUGUCCAAGGACAAACUUUUCUCCAAAAGACAUAAAAAAAGUUGUAAAUAAAAAACAUCAAAAAGAAAAUUUAAAGCCACAUCACAUGAGUUCUGAUCACUUUGUAGAACACUAGCAGACCCUUAUACCCAAAUUCUUUUUGUCAUUAGGACCAAAUACAGACAUAUACAUUCUUCCGAAGAACACGUACUAAAGUGUCAUACCAAUAGCCAUGUUUACGAGUUCCACACAGGUGCUCAAGGCUACAUCAAAGAGCUAGGAUUAUAUCAAUGAUACACCAAAAAACUUCACACGGGCCAACAUGAUAUCACUAGUCAUGAUCAUUUUCAUACUUCUUAUCAUACAAAGGAUUCACGACACUGUACUAGUAAUUAGUAAAUAGAAUCAUCUCUCCCCAUUGCUAAGGUUCUUACUUUGGCAGAACACCAAUAAUCAAAUCAAUAGUUCAUUGGAGCAUAACCAGCAAUCUAUUAGACUAUCCAUGAUUCUAGAAGUAUCGAUAAUUCAAAACAUCAUUGGUAAGUUUCAAUUCCCAUUUUCUGGCACCUUUUAUCGGCUACUGGCUGCAAUCACCAAAAAUUUGGCACCACUAAAAUUUGUAUUGGUUCACAUGAACUUCCCCCAUUUCAACUUUAGAGAAGAGACCUAAAAAGAUUAAAAAACUUAGAUUGUUAAUUAUAAUUUUUAAGAAAUUUAUUUGGAACUUAAACACCAUCUAUAUUCCACAACUCCCCAGUCUUUAAGAAACUUUGAUUCAAAUAACAAAAGUAGCAAAUAAUUCAAAUAAAUCUUUAACAAAUAAAGAUCCCAGCACUUGAUGUGCAAUCAACUGCAUCAUAGCACCUUAUUACUGGUACUUCUUUUCUGAAGCCAACCUCUUAUUAUCUCUGACAAUUAUAGCAAUAGUUUCUCCAGUGAGCCUCUUGGCAUUCAGCAACAAAAUUCUAAACAUCCUCUUUAACUCUUGUAGUUACUACACUUAGAUAUCCGAUUCUCUGCCCCUCCAACUACACAAGGCCACAGAGUCAGCAUCCUUAGAUAUGAGCAUACAUCGAAAAGCAAGUUAAAUUUCAACUAUUCAACCCUGAGGCUAACAUAUCAUAAAUAAAAUAGCAAUUAACUUAAUACAUUAAUAAAUUGUGCUGUAACACCAAGCUGCUUCUACUUACUAAUCAGAUCAUCUUUACUGCAAGUAUAACUGCCUUUGGUUCUCCGCUAGCUGACAAUAUAGAUCAGUUGACGAUUAACCAAAGAGUUGUCAUAAUCCAAGAUUCCAGAAAGAAAUAGUUCACUAACUUCAGCUCAUAUAUUUCAUCUACUUAGAUAAAAACAUCAGCUCUGCAAGAUCCCCGCAUAAACAUCAUACACAACCGCAACAAAGCCGGUAAACCCAGCAGCUCAGGAAUGGGUUCACACUCCAAAGUUUAUUAUUAGUUCAAGAACAUUUUUUUCUAAAAACAUCAAAGGAAAUCCGAUAAUCAAAUAAAGAACGACAAAGUAAAUCCCGAGCCGCGACACAUGAGUUCUGAUCACUUCGCAGAACACUAGCAGCACUUUAUACCAAGAUUCAUCGACAAGGAUUCUAGACAAGGACAUCUCCCAUUCAUCAUAA